AUGUCUUUAUUUCAAAGACGAUAGAGCGUAUACUGGCAAUAUUUCUGUUAACCUUUACCAGGAUCCGAAACCUGAUCCCUCAACAUUUAAAAAACACCCCCCCCAGACACACACAGCCCACCUUGUUGCACAAGAAGCAAGAGACAAUACAUCUACGAGAGCAUUACCCUGGUACCCUGCACUCAACGCCACACACACCAGCAGUGCUCCCAGUUUUACUAAAUCAAGGCUGUCUGAAGAUACCACUAGAUAAGCUUCCGUAUUCGUUUGUGCUUUAAGUUCAGGAAAUCGCAGGGAACACGUAUGGCCGCAAUAAACUUUAAAUAAGGAAAGGUGCCCAGGAAAAAUGACAAAAACUCAGAACAUUCAAGGAUUUACCUCUCCCCAGCCUCCUGCCCUUCUCCAAAUGUGCCCGAUCUACAUUAAAGGUGAAGAGCUUUGAUGAAAAUCCAGGCUGACAUGGCUCUUCCUCUUCACAUGACCCUAAAUUGAAAACCUGGAAGAAGGAAAGAAAGAGAAAGAGGGAAAGAAGCGGCUCAACAACUCAGCGCAAAAGCAGGUAAGGCGCACUGCUUUUACAAUGGCUUUGGCCGGGGCACCUUCGAGCCGUGCAGAGACCCGCCAUAAGCUACGGAAACAAGGACGCUUAUCCAACUUAGGAAUUGAAGACGAAGUAGAAAACGAUACACCACAAUUUCGCCAAUCAGUCCAGUGGAUUUAAGGUUUAAUAAGACUUAAAUUACAUAAAGUAAGCAAUAAAUACAUAAAUGAAAUCAAGGGCGCUGCCACGGUUGGGCGCUCACUCCCAAACUAAUGGGUCCAACGACUCCGAAGCAAACAGACCACAGGCAACUUUAAUUACAUAUCUGCUAGCGUCUACGUUUAAUUUAUAAUAUUUAAAUAUAUAAAAAAAAUAACAACUUUAAGGGGGUUAAAAAAAAUGAAAGGCUUCAUAUCCACAGCACAGCAACCACGAAAACCCAAGUAAAAACCAACUUACCUGGAGUAAAAAGAUAAGUCCCAACGCCAAGACCUUGUAAGUCCCCAUUAGAGCGAAGUCUCGCCGAAAACCUCUGUUCUCUGUAAGCAGGGAUAGUGAACGUUUGAAGGGGGGAAAAAAAGCAAAUCCGCCUUAGUCCACACAGUUUCGCAGGCUACCCCUCCCCAAAGGUGUGCUGGCACAUUAAUGCGCAGCUGAGCAGGUAGUUUCGGGAAGCGGGGGCUGCCGCGCCCCUUAGGACGGCCAACAUCCAAAUAUGGGCAUGGAGCCUCUUCAUCCGCAAGCUGCCUACAGGUAAAUGGAGACUCCGCUCUUUCUCACCGGGUCCUAAAGCCAACCGUUUCAAUUUAUUCCCUACGGGGUUUUAGAGGAAACGCCCGCAAGAGCGAGCGCGUUUGUCCUGGAAAAACUCGGCGUUGAAAUGCAAAUUGUGGUUUGGGUAUACGAGCCCCCUACUUUGGAUGGCGUUAUUGCAGGUCUCGGCACCCAGAGAACAAUGCUGCAAAUACCUCCCAGUCUCACUCAGGCUGUCACACCCUUAUUAGACCAUUUAAUUCCUCCCGAUAGCUAACAGUUACACUGCCCUAAGUACACAUUGCAGCUUAUCUUUCGACACUGCUCAAAAGCAUGAUGUACUUUAGCCUCAGUUUAAAAGUUAAAAUGAGUUAAAAUUUGAAACAGUUUUAAAACGAGAACUUGUGUUUAAUUGUGUAAAAAUGAUUGGUGCCUGUUUCUUCAUUGCCAUGUGAAGGUCCACAUUGGGGUACAGAAUCCUUGCAUAAUAUCUUCACCUCAACCAGAGCUGAACUGAAAGGCACCAUUCAGCAGAUCUUACUGACCACACACUCCAUGAUCCUAAUGCCCUACCGCUUUUGGGAUCUGGAGAGUUAGGAAGGUUGUUUCGUAUUCAGCCACCAUACUUGUAUAUUUCAUCAAUAUUUGAGCCCAGGAAUCCCCCAGACUUCCCAUCCUGUCUACAGUUUCCUUGUAUUCAUAGCUUUCACUAUGACAUCACUUCGCGUCAUAUGUUGUAGGCAAGGGUCUACCUAGAAUUUCUGGACCUCCUGAAAAAAACUCUUCAUGGUCCCUUGUCAAGCGGUGUCUCCCCUGAAUCUGACAGGGUAUCCAUGACCCUCCGACAGCCCUGGAUUUAUUGCUGAAACUUUGGUUGUUUGGCAAGCAGAACUGUAAUGAGAAGAGAGAUUUUUCCUGUUCAUGCCUGAUACAUAGGAUAAUAUUAUGGAUUAUGGGUUCAAAUUCUGAGCCUGGCAGAGUAAUGAUAUCACCGUCGAGCCCUUGCGCGAAGCCCUUAACCCCAUCUGCUAAGGAAGGCUGUACACUGGCUGAACUGGUGUUCUGACCCCUGAACUUAGCUGAACAUGCCUACACAUUUGUGUCUCUCACAGAGAGCCAGAUUAGGCAUGUGACAAUCCAAAGAAUUCCUGUGUGCUGCACAAAUGACAAGUUAAGUAUCAAUGAUACUAUAUGUAUGAGGUCAUAUAUACAAAUACAGAACUCGAGGAACAGGUUUAGCAAACUAUUACAAAUUGUUAUGGUCAGCUGACUGUGACCAUCUCCCCCUAGCCCCCCUCACACAAAUAUCAUGUAUUGUUUUGCAUCAAACAGUAAUACCUAUUGUUGCUGCAAUAUUUUACAUGGUAUUACAUUUUAUUAAAUAAUAUACGUAUGUUAUUUAAAUUGACAUUAAUGUUAUUAGUUAAUACCAUUACUGUCACUUCAUUUUUUGAGAACUGCUAUUUGUUUCUUCAAGGGUGUUGUGUGUCUGGGAGGGUUAGGACUAGGUCUCUGUAAUCAGAAGGUCGUUGGUUCAAAUCCUGUGGUUGGUAAAGUAAGCUUAUUUUUAUUUUUGGGCUCUUCAGUCGUUUCAGGGACUGGCUUGACCAUGUUUUCUUAGCUAUAUGUUGCUUUGGACAGAAGCAUUUGCCAAAUACAUACAUAUGACCGAAUCAGACAUUUACCACUCAGUAAGUAUAUGAAGCUCAGUCAUCAUGUGAUGUUUCCUGCUGGUCUUGAACCAUUUAUACAGCAUCAAUUAUGCAGAAGGUGGUGGUAGAAGGAAUAUUCUGUGAUACUUCCUUUUUCUGUCCUUUUCGAGACAUUUGUUGAUUGGUAUCAGUUCAUGUCUGUAAGCCGAAUACUGCAAGUCAGGAGAUCUGAACAAUUAUUUGAUGGGUGGGACUGCGGCAAUGACUAUUUUGUGGUCUAAAUGACAAGGUGUGUUAAAUUGAAUUGUUCUUUUUAUAAAAGUAACCGCAGUUUCAGAGUAAAAUGAGAUUAAGAUUCCAGAGUCUCUGAAAAAGAUGAGGUUAAAAAUAAGUUUGACUUCAAACUUUUUAGUUCCUUGUUAAAUAAUUUAUGAUGGUGAGAUAUUGAUCUAUUACUCUUAUUGCUCUUUUCAUACUCACAACAACUUGCAUUAAUGGAGAAUCUCUUAUGCUGAGUAUGGAGAUUAGUUAAGUGGUUACUGGAAUGAGUAUAUGAUGCAUCUGUGUGGUUAAAUGUUAUAGGAUCAAAAUAGGCUUUAUCUUCUAAUACAUGUUUUUUCUAACAAAAGUGCAACCAAUUGUUGAUAAUGAAAUUAUGGGUUUUUCUCACAGGCUAUAGCAUGAAGCAUAAAAUAAAUGAAGCUUAAAGCCAAUGCUGAACCUUUUUCCCACCAUCUUGACAAUACUUAUUCUGAAUUGCAAAUAAGCUGUAACUGUGUUUAAAUACUGUAACCUUUGGAAAUAGCCUUGUACAGGCAGGGCAUCCUUCCCUUUAAUGUAAUUACUCAUUAAGUCGCAUUAAGUCAUUAAUUGUUAAAUCAGAGCAGGGAGGACAGAUGUUUUAUGUCUUGUUCAUGGGAAAUUGAACUGCUUUUUAAUAUUAAAUGUUCCACACUUGA